AAAAGAUACGAGUGCUCCUGUGAUUCUUUCUCUGAGACUCUACCUUUAUUUUUACAGCUCCUCCUCCCUCUGAGCUCAGACUCUUCUGCCAUCUAGUGGUCUUCUGCCCGUACUGCAUCUCCACCGGUCUGCUGCUGUCCAUCUGCUGGAGCAGGAAGAACAAACCAGCCGUCUCCAUGGAGAUGACCCAGCGUGAUGGAGGAGGUCAGGGAUUGGACAGAGAGUAUGAUGAUGUCACCACUGAGCAUGCCUUCUGAGCUGCGGAGCCUGUUAGUGUUUAAGCUGCAGAUGAUGAUUUUUCACUGCUGAACGUCUGUGGAUUAUUUAGGUUCUCAGUGGUGACAAGUAAUAUUCUGAUUUAGCUUGAACGCGGACACUGCAGACUCGGCUAUCCAGCUAACCGGACUAGCAUGCUACCGAGCCGACAGAGAAGCCUCCUUAUCUGGUUGGAAAUGUGUCCAGACUCUAACAUGACCCACGGGCCCCAUCCUUGGGAUUUAUGAGGAACAGGGAAAAUGAUCGGGAGAGAAGCAACAGACUGACUGAAAGUACUGGAACGAGCUCAUGUAGAAUCAGCUAAACAAUAUUCUGGAUAAACAAAUAGAAGCUUAAAUACCUCAGACAAAACUAUUAUGAAAACGGCCCCAAAGCUAAAAAAUAACAGCAUGGAAACUGUGCAAACAAUUAACAGCUAGAAACAUUAAAAAUCCACCUGCUUAUUGCUGCAAACCCAAAGAUACAGAAGAAUCCUUUUGGUCCUCCUUCGUCACUUCUCUGCUCCUCCUCUGCCUCACCUCGUGCUGUCAUCCUGGGUUUGCAUUGAAAGUAUUCCCCACCUAAUCCCUUAUCUAUGUAAUGCUGAGCUUUGUGCCCCUUUUAAAAAGCAAACAAGGAGAGAGCGUUCCAACAUACACCCUACCAAAGUUACUAGAAUUAAAGACCUGCCACCAACAGGUCAGCAGAUCUCCCAGCACCUCCAUGCAGGGAAUUUCACCUCCACAGAAUAAACAUUUUUUAUACUUUUUGUUUUAUUUGUGUUUAUUAGUGACUCCAGAACUCUUGCAGCUGUUAGUAAUCACAGCAAGUUUCACAAUCCCAGUUUUAGUUUUCCA